UGAGUCCCGUAAAUGGUCGUGCCACUUGAAAACAUACGUUCCCAUUAGACCUCAUCAACAGAUCAUUUAAUAAACGACGGCGCUGUAUUGAAAGCGGUUAAUGGUAGACCUCAAAACUGGUUAGCACUUGAUAAAAAGUUCUACACAAGGACACUCCUGGGAACUACUCGUCGAAGCAUCCGGAGCUCGUCCGACGUUUGAUGUCAUGAUUAUCUAAAAUAAUAGAUUUACCGGAAGCCGAACAACUAUUUCACUAACUAAUACGAGCUGGAAUAGGACAAAACGUAAAUCCGGAACUGAUUUUUAGCUACUCAAAACGACGCCACUUGUCGACUUGUUAUUGUUCAAUAAAACGCAUGCAAACCAAAUACCUUUGUUGUUUCAUUUUGACAGCAGUUGGAAUGGGUCGACCCCCAUUGUGUGGACUCGCAUCAAUACGGCUACACCGUGACGUCACUGAGCGCCUGUUCAUAUUGGGCUUGUUCUCUGAGUGACGUUUAUACCAAUAAGCCGAGAACAAGCCGAGAACAAGCCCAAGAAAUUUCAUACAAAUUCUCUCUGAGAUU